GACGAACGCUGGCGGCGUGCUUAACACAUGCAAGUCGAACGGUGAAAGCGGAGCUUGCUCCGCUGGAUCAGUGGCGAACGGGUGAGUGACACGUGGGCAACCUGCCCCUCACUUCGGGAUAACUCUGGGAAACUGGGGCUAAUACCGGAUAUGACCUCCUUGGGCAUCCUUGGAGGUGGAAAGUUUUUCGGUGAGGGAUGGGCCCGCGGCCUAUCAGCUUGUUGGUGAGGUAGUGGCUCACCAAGGCGACGACGGGUAGCCGGCCUGAGAGGGCGACCGGCCACACUGGGACUGAGACACGGCCCAGACUCCUACGGGAGGCAGCAGUGGGGAAUAUUGCGCAAUGGGCGAAAGCCUGACGCAGCAACGCCGCGUGCGGGAUGACGGCCUUCGGGUUGUAAACCGCUUUCAGCAGGGAAGAAGCCGCAAGGUGACGGUACCUGCAGAAGAAGCACCGGCUAACUACGUGCCAGCCGCCGCCGUAA
rnacentral:rRNA from 1 species